ACCUGAACCUUAGCACAACCUCCCUCAAACCAGAUGGGUGUCCACAGAUGAGCCAACAGGAGACAGUGGCUGAAAAGAGACAGUGCUGCAAUUGCCUUCUAAGAGAGAUGAGUUUUGGUGAUUUAUGUCAAAUGAAGCAACUCUUACAGUGUGUAAAUUGAUGGACCAAAGUCACAGCAUUUAAUUGUCAUCUGUCUGGCAUUGGAAAGAGAUUUCAGCUCUCCCUGCCUUUACUGGAAGUGUCACUCAAAGCUCUGAACUUGCUUGAACUCUGAUGAAAACUUGCCAUCUUCUGAAGCAUUUUCUCUGGACAAGUCUCCCACUAAGAGCAGAGCCACUUGAGCCUUGUGAGUGGAGCUCUUAACAUGACCUAAUGAAAAGCCAUCGAAGCUUAGAAUAGACCUUGGCUCCUGCGUCAUCAUGGUAAUUGGGCUGUGGCAGUCAUCAUGCUGCAGAACUCUUAGUGCAGUGCAAAUGUGAUUGCUGAAAGCUUUUGAAUCAGAAAUACUUUUGAGUUGCUUGGAAAUACUUGGUCUUAUAAUUCCUGUGCUCCAGGGGAUUUGAAACAGAGGUUUGUUCUGACUCCACCAAAGAACGAAAGACAUUCUGUGACAUUCUCCCCUGUAUCUGAGACCUGUGGAAGGAAAAAAUCUCAUGGCUUUGUGUUAUAUCAGUGUCCUAUACUGUGGAAGAGUAAGAGUUUUUAAUUUCUUUUUUCCUUUAAACGAGAUUGUCAAUUGCAACUUCAGACUAUCAAAUAUUAGAAUUUAUGAUAAAGCUAUAAAGGCAGCUCUACCAAGGCAGUUUUAAGUACACUAUAUACUAUAUACAUUAUCUAUCCUAUAUGUGUGGAUAUACUUGCCAUUGUAGUCAGUGGGAGUUUUAAUUUAAGACAAAAUAAACAUAGCUAUAUUUAAAAAAAAUAAAUAUUACAACUAGAAA